rnacentral:rRNA from 1 species
UAGGGAAUCUUCCGCAAUGGACGCAAGUCUGACGGAGCAACGCAGCGUGAGUGAAGAAGGAUUUCGGUUCGUAAAACUCUGUUGUUAGAGAAGAACAGCGCAUAGAGUAACUGUUAUGCGUGUGACGGUAUCUAACCAGAAAGCCACGGCUAACUACGUGCCAGCAGCCGCGGUAAUACGUAGGUGGCAAGCGUUGUCCGGAUUUAUUGGGCGUAAAGCGAGCGCAGGCGGUCAAUUAAGUCUGAUGUGAAAGCCCCCGGCUCAACCGGGGAGGGUCAUUGGAAACUGGUUGACUUGAGUGCAGAAGAGGGGAGUGGAGUUCCAUGUGUAGCGGUGAAGUGCGUAGAUAUAUGGAGGAACACCAGUGGCGAAGGCGACUCUCUGGUCUGUAACUGACGCUGAGGCUCGAAAGCGUGGGUAGCAAACAGG